ensembl:lncRNA novel transcript
UGGUCACAGUGACCGCCACCAUUGCCCGGGGAUGGGUCCUUGAGACUUGGCGAAGUAGGAGCCCUGUGUGAUCGUGCGUCAGAGUCGGGGCUGAGACCAGCCCUGGCCAGGGCAGUUACCAGGACGGUCUCCGGAGGCCGGGAUUCGCGGAGGGUCCACCAGCAGGAAGAAACCCCAGGAGGAAGAAAACUCAGACAGAUCGCCGGGGAGGCAGCGCGGGAUCCCAGCCUCAGGCGUGCGCGGACGGUGUGCGGAUCCAUGAGGAAUCUCCACACUGUCUUCCACAAUGGUCGAACUAAUUUUCAUUCCCACCAACAGUGAUUCAAGGUCAGCCAAAGAGGAGCAAAGAGUCAUCCACCUCAAUCAUGUUCAGGAAAUGAUCAGGUCAAGAUGUGGAGUGAGCCAGCUUUUCUCUUUCGUGCCACAUUUUCUGACCCAGCAUUUCAAGCUACCCAAGGUGCGAAAAAGAAAGAAGGCCAAAGGGAAGAAGGUGGUGCUGACCCUUGCGGUCUUGAAAAAGCAGGAGACCAUGAAAGUGGUGAAUCUUCCAUUUGAGAAAUUUGGCACUGGACAGGACAUUUUGGCAUUGGACAGAACAUCCAGCCCAAAAGGGACCUCACUUGCUUUGUCAAAUGGCCCCAUUAUACUAGGUUGCAGCAGCAGAGAGCCAUCCUCUAUAAGCAGCUAGAAGUGCCUUCUGUGAUUAGUCAGUUCACCAGGGCCUUGGACCACCAAACAGCUGCUCAAUGGGGUAAGCUGGCUGGCAAGUACAGACCAGAGACAAAGCAAGAGAAGCAGCAGAGACUGUUGGCCUGGGCUGAGAAGAAAGCAAAGGAGACAUCCCCACUGAGAGAUCACCUGUCCUUUUAAUGGGGGUUAACGCUGUCACCACCUUAGCGGAGAAAAAGAAGGAUCAGCUGGUGAUGACUACACAGGACAGAGAUCCCAUUGAGUUGGUUGUCUUCCUGCCUGCCCUGUGUUGUAAACUGGGGGUUCCUUACUGCAUUAUCUAAUGGAAGGCAAGCUUGAGACAUCUAGGAUUAAAAAACAAACAAACAAACAACAA